AUUGAACGCUGGCGGCAGGCCUAACACAUGCAAGUCGAGCGAGAGGCGGACGGGUGAGUAAUGUAUGGGGACUGCCCGAUAGAGGGGGAUAACUACUGGAAACGGUGGCUAAUACCGCAUACUAUCGGGUACCCCAUGUGGGAUUAGCUAGUAGGUGGGGUAAAGGCUCACCUGGGCGACGCUCUCUUGCUCGUCUGAGAGGAUGAUCGGCGACACGGGGACUGAGACAGGGCCCAGACUCCUACGGAGGCAGCAGGGGGGAAUAUUGCACAAUGGGCGAAAGCCUGAUGCCGCCAUGCCGCGUGUAUGAAGAAGGCCUUAGGGUUGUAAAGUACUUUCAGCGGGGAGGCGUUACCCGCAGAAGAAGCACCGGCUAACUCCGUGCCAGCAGCCGCGGUAAUAC
rnacentral:rRNA from 1 species